AAUUUCGGGGUUAGUAGGUUGGUCAUGCCUCUGGUAUGUACUGGUCUCACUGAUUCCUCCUUCCUGAUGAGCCGUAAUGCCAUUAAUUUGGUGUUGCGGGGAAUUUGGACUGUUACUUUGAAAAAAUUAGAGUGUUUAAAGCAAGCUAACGCUUGAAUACAUUAGCAUGGAAUAAUGAAAUAGGACGUUCGAUCCUAUUUUGUUGGUUUCUAGGAUUGACGUAAUGAUUAAUAGGGAUAGUUGGGGGCAUUAGUAUUCAAUUGUCAGAGGUGAAAUUCUUGGAUUUAUUGAAGACUAACUACUGCGAAAGCAUUUGCCAAGGAUGUUUUCAUUAAUCAAGAACGAAAGUUAGGGGAUCGAAGACGAUCAGAUACCGUCGUAGUCUUAACCAUAAACUAUGCCG
rnacentral:rRNA from 1 species